rnacentral:rRNA from 1 species
GUGUGGAUAGGGGAGAAAUUCCAAUCGAAGGCGGAGAUAGCUGGUGCUCCUCGAACUAGCUUUAGGGCUAGCCUCGUAUUAGUGUUGCGGAGGUAGAGCACUGAAUUUCCUAGGGGGCGUCAAAGCCUACCGAAGAAUAUCAAACUCCGAAUGCCGCGUAAUCGAUUAUCGGGAGUCAGACUGCACGAGAUAAGUUGGGCGGUCAAAAGGGAAAGAGCCCAGACCUUCAGUUAAGGUCCCAAAGUGCGCGUUAAGUGGAAAAGGAUGUGGGAUUUCGAAGACAACCAGGAUGUUGGCUCAGAAGCAGCCAUCCAUUCAAAGAGUGCGUAAUAGCUCACUGGUCGAGAGGUCCUGCGCCGAAAAUGUCCGGGGCUG